rnacentral:rRNA from 1 species
ACGGGUGAGUAAUGUCUGGGGAUCUGCCCGAUAGAGGGGGAUAACCACUGGAAACGGUGGCUAAUACCGCAUAACGUCGCAAGACCAAAGAGGGGGACCUUCGGGCCUCUCACUAUCGGAUGAACCCAGAUGGGAUUAGCUAGUAGGCGGGGUAACGGCCCACCUAGGCGACGAUCCCUAGCUGGUCUGAGAGGAUGACCAGCCACACUGGAACUGAGACACGGUCCAGACUCCUACGGGAGGCAGCAGUGGGGAAUAUUGCACAAUGGGCGCAAGCCUGAUGCAGCCCUGCCGCGUGUAUGAAGAAGGCCUUAGGGUUGUAAAGUACUUUCAGCGGGGAGGAAGGCGAUAAGGUUAAUAACCUUGUCGAUUGACGUUACCCGCAGAAGAAGCACCGGCUAACUCCGUGCCAGCAGCCGCGGUAAUACGGAGGGUGCAAGCGUUAAUCGGAAUUACUGGGCGUAAAGCGCACGCAGGCGGUCUGUUAAGUCAGAUGUGAAAUCCCCGGGCUUAACCUGGGAACUGCAUUUGAAACUGGCAGGCUUGAGUCUCGUAGAGGGGGGUAGAAUUCCAGGUGUAGC